CCGACGCCCGCCCAACGUGCACUCCCGGUUCCUUUUGGUUCGAAGUCCAAGAUGGCCAGCCUCAAGGAUCAGCUGAUCAUGAAUCUCCUUAAGGAAGAGCAGGUCCCCCAGAAUAAGAUUACAGUUGUCGGGGUUGGUGCUGUGGGCAUGGCCUGCACCAUCAGUAUCUUAAUGAAGGACUUGGCAGAUGAACUUCCUCUUGUUGAUGUCAUAGAAGACAAAUUGAAAGGAGAGAUGAUGGAUCUCCAACAUGGCAGCCUUUUCCUUAGAACACCAAAGAUUGUCUCUAGCAAAGACUAUAAUAUAACUGCAAACUCUAAACUGGUUAUUAUCACAGCUGGGGCACAUCAGCAAGAGGGAGAAAGCCGUCUUAAUUUGGUACAGCGUAAUGUGAACAUCUUUAAGUUCAUCAUUCCUAAUAUUGUAAAGUACAGCCCAAACUACAAGUUGCUUAUUGUUUCCAUUCCAGUGGAUAUCUUGACCUAUGUGGCUUGGAAGAUAAGUGGCUUUCCCAAAAACCGUGUGAUUGGCAGUGGCUGCAAUGUGGAUUCAGCCCGGUUCCAGUACCUGAUGGGGGAAAGGCUGGGGUUUCACCCCCUGAGCUGCCAUGGAUGGGUCCUCGGGGAGCAUGGAGACUCCAGUGUGCCUGUGUGGAGUGGAGUAAAUGUUGCUGGCAUCUCCCUGAAGAAUCUGCACCCCGAGUUAGGAACUGAUGGGGAUAAAGAGCAUUGGAAAGAGGUUCACAAACAGGUGAUUGACAGUGCUUAUGAAGUGAUCAAACUCAAAGGCUACACAUCCUGGGCCAUCAGACUGUCUGUGGCAGAUUUGGGAGAAAGUAUAAUGAAGAAUCUCAGGAGAGUGCAUCCAAUUUCUACCAUGAUUAAGGGUCUCUAUGGAAUAAAGGAUGAAGUCUUCCUUAGUGUUCCUUGUAUCUUGGGACAAAAUGGGAUCUCAGAUGUUGUGAAGGUGACCCUGACUCCUGAGGAAGAGGUCUGUCUGAAGAAGAGUCCAGAUACGCUGUGGGCAAUCCAGAAAGAGCUGCAGUUUUAAAGUC